GGAGCCCAGCACAUGCUCAUCUGACCCAAGCAGGGGGCGGGGCUACAUCGGGAUCUUCUGCAGCUCUGCUGCUCUUCUUCUGGGGCCUGGCUGGCAGCGUGGAAGAGCAGGGAGGAGCUGCUGGAGGCUGCAAUUCAUCAAGGCAUCUUCCGGACGAUCGGAUCUCCUACAUGAAUAGUGAAUACCGACUGAAGACGCCAUCUGCCUCAGAGGAUACAGUUCUUCAGACGUUCCAUAUUGUGAGAAACCAUCACACAGUUGACUGCUCAGCAUCUGUACCAAAGUGAGGCCAGAUGCACUGUGUAUAGCUGCAUGUGUUCCAGCCCAGGCUCAGGGAGCACAGCU